AGAAUCAACGCUGGCGGCGUGCCUAACACAUGCAAGUCGCACGAGAAAGGGACUUCGGUCCUGAGUACAGUGGCGCACGGGUGAGUAACACGUGAAUAAUCUACCUCCGAGUGGGGAAUAACUGAGAGAAAUCUUAGCUAAUACCGCAUAACACUUACGAGUCAAAGCAGCAAUGCGCUUGGAGAGGAGUUCGCGGCAGAUUAGUUAGUUGGCGGGGUAAUGGCCCACCAAGACGAUGAGUCUGUA
rnacentral:rRNA from 1 species